AGAGUUUGAUCAUGGCUCAGGACGAACGCUGGCGGCGUGCUUAACACAUGCAAGUCGAACGGAAAGGCCCUUCGGGGUACUCGAGUGGCGAACGGGUGAGUAACACGUGGGUGAUCUGCCCUGCACUCUGGGAUAAGCCUGGGAAACUGGGUCUAAUACCGGAUAGGACCGCAUGCUUCAUGGUGUGUGGUGCAAAGCUUUUGCGGUGUGGGAUGAGCCCGCGGCCUAUCAGCUUGUUGGUGGGGUAAUGGCCUACCAAGGCGACGACGGGUAGCCGGCCUGAGAGGGUGACCGGCCACACUGGGACUGAGAUACGGCCCAGACUCCUACGGGAGGCAGCAGUGGGGAAUAUUGCACAAUGGGCGCAAGCCUGAUGCAGCGACGCCGCGUGAGGGAUGACGGCCUUCGGGUUGUAAACCUCUUUCAGCACAGACGAAGCGCGAGUGACGGUAUGUGCAGAAGAAGGACCGGCCAACUACGUGCCAGCAGCCGCGGUAAUACGUAGGGUCCGAGCGUUGUCCGGAAUUACUGGGCGUAAAGAGCUCGUAGGUGGUUUGUCGCGUUGUUCGUGAAAACUCACAGCUUAACUGUGGGCGUGCGGGCGAUACGGGCAGACUGGAGUACUGCAGGGGAGACUGGAAUUCCUGGUGUAGCGGUGGAAUGCGCAGAUAUCAGGAGGAACACCGGUGGCGAAGGCGGGUCUCUGGGCAGUAACUGACGCUGAGGAGCGAAAGCGUGGGGAGCGAACAGGAUUAGAUACCCCGGUAGUCCAA
rnacentral:rRNA from 1 species